rnacentral:rRNA from 1 species
UAAAGGAGAUAGCGCCGGACCGCCGAGUAUAUGAGUAGGAAGCUCGCCUAGAAGGACCAGCUUAACUACUAGGUACCGGGACGUAAUACCGAAUAACGUCGCAAGAACCUGAGGGCCAGCUUCGCUACUAUUGCAUAGGAUGUGCCCAGAUGCCCCCCCCUCGUCGGUGGGGUAACGCCUCCCCAUCCCCCACGAUCCCUACGUGGCCCGACAGGACGACCAGUCCAACUGCCCCCCCCACGCCGCGGCCCCCCCCCAGGCAGUCCGCCGUGGGGAAUCUUGCACAAUGGGCGCAAGCUUGUUGUAUUUUUGCCGCGUGUAUCCCGAAGGUUUCGCGUUGUAAAGUACUUUCAGCGGGAAGUAAUCACCGAACUUAAUACCUUUGCUCAUCCACCCUACCCGAAAAAGAUUACCGGAUAACUCCGUGGCAGCAGCCUCCGCCAUACGGACGGUGCAACCGUUACUCGGAAUUAUUGUACGUAUCGCGCACGCAGGCGUUUUGUCCUGUCCCAUGUCAAAUCCCCGGGAUCAACCUGCGAAUGCAUCUGAUACUGGCCAGGUGGAGUCUCGCAGAGAGCCUACAGACUUCCGGGUGGAGCGGUGAAAUGCAUAGAGAUCUGGAGGAAUACCGGUGGCGAAGGCGGCCCCCUGGACGAAGACUGACGCUCAUGUGC